CUGAACAGAUUGAGGGAGAGGAGAGCUUCCCAAAUCCUCAUCCAUCCUUCCACCCACCAUAACUUUUUCAUUUGAGUUCCGAUCGCCGUACCGUUUGCGACCACGCGUCCAACGCGUCGAUCUCUACGUUUUCAUCGGAUCAAUUUUAUGGGUGUGAAUUAGGUGGAUAUAUGUGCAUUGGAAUUUAAUUGUGGAUAUUUGGAAGUUUGGUGGAUGAUUGGUGCUAAGAUUUUGGUGGGUUUCUCAAGCUUGCGGGGCUGUAUAUGUGACUAGUGUGGCUGCCUUGGACUAAACAUAGUGAUCGGUCAAGAUGCAGGUCGAGAGGCUCCUCGCUAGGCGUGUAGAUCCCUGAAGAGGAGUAGUCCCUGGGCAUUUUGGGUUUUCAGUUUGUAUAUGUAUGUCCAUAUGUACUAGCUUGCUCUCUAAGAAACUUAAUUAUUUUGUUCCUCAUAGAGGUUACAAGAGAGUUAGGGACCUAUUUCUGUAUUUUGGAUUUUUGGGAUACUUAUGUAUAUAUAUAUGUAAAUAUUCUCCGGCCAG